rnacentral:rRNA from 1 species
AUGCAGUCGAGCGAACAGAUGAGGAGCUUGCUUCUUUGAUGUUAGCGGCGGACGGGUGAGUAACACGUGGGUAACCUACCUAUAAGACUGGGAUAACUCCGGGAAACCGGGGCUAAUGCCGGAUAAUAUAUUGAACCGCAUGGUUCAAUGUUGAAAGACGGUUUCG